rnacentral:lncRNA from 1 species
GUAGUUAUCAACAGGUGCAAAGUUCGAACCAGAGAAGAUGUGAACCCCACCCCGGAGGAAAGCAACAGCAAUCUCACCACCAUGAGCAGAAUAGACUAUUUGAGCGAGUGUUCUAACAUCACUUGACAGGUCAAAAGGAUCAAAACUGACUCGUUUUACUUUCUCUAUGCCAGAAUCAGGAGUCUUCCUUGCAUCUGUGGUUGCUGUUGUCGCUGCUGCUUGGUGACUUUUAAAAUCAUUAGUUGGUUGUAUGCUUGUGUCCACUUUGGAUAGCCAAACAGUUUGCAUUGGUGCCUGCCCACCAAAACUGGAAGUAGGAUUUCCAAAUAUUUGGUGAAGAACAACAGGCUGAAGUGAUGAUUCCCAGCGUUGCACUCUCCAUCCUGUAAUUGAUGGACCCUCAUCUGGAUCACAAGGAGACAUGUAUUGUCCUGCACUCAUGAUUCAAUUCAUGCAACUACUAUAGUUCAGACGUAUUUCUAUGAAAACUUAGUUUCUUAUCAGGAAAAAAAAAAAGGGUUGUCAUUACCUAGCAGGCCAGAUAGAAUAAAACUCCGAUAUUACACCAGAAUCAAAGGUAAGGUAAAGAUAAACAAAAAAGGUCGUACCCAGUGCACAAGGCUCCCGCUUUACGCAGGGUCUGGGAGAGGUGAAUGUCGGCUAGCCUUACCCCCAUUUAUGAAGAGGCUGCUCCCAAAUAAACAAAUAAACAAAUAAACAAAUAUUGUACGGAAACGAGAAAUGAUGACACACUUGUUCAGAAACGAUUUAGACUCUAACAAACCAACUUUCAGAGAUUUUUUUUUUGGGAAAAUGUACAUCUGGAUUAGAAAAGACAAAC